GUAAAGUAUAAAGUGUACAUUGUAUUCAAUUUUAAAUAAAUGCUGUGACUUAAUUACAAUGAAACUUAAAACUAGAUAGGUAAACCAUAAACCUGCCACAAUUGGCAUUAUGAGGAUCUAAAUGAUAAUUGAUUAUUAGUUAGUGUGGUUAAAAGGUCAAGUAUUUUAAAAUAUGUAUGCAUAACCAUAAAACCAAAAAAAGUUAUUUAUCUUAUUUGAAAACUAGAUUUUUCCUUUUAUUGCUAUUAAUUGAUAAUACUUUAUGUUUUUGCUGUAGACAUAUUUUACAUUCACUUGAAGACUGAUGUAUGCAGUCGACCUGCUUAACUGAUAAGUUAUUUGUUAUUUUCCAUAUAUAACAUAAUGACUAAAAGGUUUUUUUUUUUUUUGUGGUGGGUGUAUAAUUAUGUUGUUACUUGUUACCUAACCUGCCAGGCUGGUCUAUCAAGACUUUAAAGGGCUUGUAUUGGUAAAUUUCUCCAAAUGAACGAGAAAUUCAUACAAAAAAAUAAAUGAUGUAAAAUGAUAUCAAUGUGACAUUCAUAAGUUCAAAAUUGAAUUCAAUUUUUUUAUAUGUUUUGAAUAAAUACAAAAACUUUUUCUUUAGUAACAAAAUUAAAUUAACGAAAAAAUGACAUACACACUGGAGUGAAAACUGCAAAAACAUAUCUCAAGUCAACAUGUUAAUAUGAAUAUUUAAUAAUGUUAAAGAAUUUAAAAAAAUAAAAUCAAAAUCCACAAGUUUAUAUAUGGAGGAGAGUUGAAGACAUAAAGGGUUAUUAGUGGUAUAAUUGUCUUUAUUUGGUGGUAUUUUGUAUAAGGCAUUAUGCAAUUAUAAUGCCUUACUCAGUGCAGGUAACUGUGGAUAUUGAAAUAUAUAUUUGGAAUAAAAAUCUCCCAAGGAAUGAUGUUCGGGGAAAAAAAAACUCAAUCAAAAAACAAAACUCCAACCCAUGUAAUUUUUUUUUCUCAAUCAACUCAAUAUUAGCUGAUUAUAAUAUUGAAAAUAGUCCAUUUG